CAAAAACAUGUCUUUUUGAUUAUAAUUUAAAGUCUAACCUGCCCAAUGAGGAGUUAAAUGGCCGCGGUAUUUUGACCGUGCAAAGGUAGCAUAAUCAUUAGUUUUUUAAUUGAAAGCUGGUAUGAAUGGUUGGACGAGAAAAUAACUGUCUCGAUUUAAAUUAAAUUAGAAUUUUAUUUAUGAGUAAAAAAGCUCAUAUGAGUUUAAAAGACGAGAAGACCCUAUAGAAUUUAAUAUAUAUAUGUAUAUAUUAUUUUUAGAAUUAAUAAUAAGUUAUACAUAAUUAUAUUUUGUUGGGGUGAUAGAAAAAUUAAAUUAACUUUUUUUAUAUAAAAACAUUAAUGUAUGAAAAAAUGAUCCGUUAAUUACGAUUAUAAGAUUAAAUUACCUUAGGGAUAACAGCGUAAUUUUUUUUUAGAGUUCUUAUCGAAAAAAGAGUUUGCGACCUCGAUGUUGGAUUAAAAUUAACUUUUGGUGUAGGGGCU
rnacentral:rRNA from 2 species